UCGUCAGCUCGUGUCGUGAGAUGUUGGGUUAAGUCCCGCAACGAGCGCAACCCUUGCCUUUAGUUGCCAGCAUUAAGUUGGGCACUCUAGAGGGACUGCCAGGGAUAACCUGGAGGAAGGUGGGGAUGACGUCAAAUCAUCAUGCCCCUUAUGCUUAGGGCUACACACGUGCUACAAUGGGUGGUACAGAGGGCAGCCAAGUCGUGGGGCGGAGCUAAUCCCUUAAAGCCAUUCUCAGUUCGGAUUGUAGGCUGAAACUCGCCUACAUGAAGCUGGAGUUACUAGUAAUCGCAGAUCAGAAUGCUGCGGUGAAUGCGUUCCCGGGUCUUGUACACACCGCCCGUCACACCAUGGGAGUUGGGGGCGCCCGAAGCCGGAUAGCUAACCUUUUGGAAGCGUCCGUCGAAGGUGAAACCAAUAACUGGGGUGAAGUCGUAACAAGGUAGCCGUA
rnacentral:rRNA from 1 species